rnacentral:tRNA from 1 species
GGAGAGUUGACCGAGAUGGUAAGGUACUGGUAUGCUAAACCAAGGUUGAGGUAACACUCAGGUAAGUUCGAUUCUUACACUCUCCG